GACGAACGCUGGCGGCGUGCUUAACACAUGCAAGUCGAACGGAGUGGCGAACGGAUGAGUAAAACGUGGGUGACCUGCCGUGCAAUUCGGGAUACACAUGGGCAAAUGGGUCUAAUACCGGAGCGUGUGGGAUGGGCCCGCGGCCAAUCAGCUUGUUGGUGGGGUAAGGGCCGCCCAAGGCGGAGACGGGUCGCCGGCCUGGGAGCGUGGACGGCCACAUAGGGCCUGGGGCACGGCCCGGACUCCUACGGGGGGCAGCAGUGGGGAAUAUUGCACAAUGUGCGGAAGCCUGAUGCAGCGACCCCGGGUGGGGGAUGACGGCCUUCGGGUUGUAAACUCCUUGCACCUUCGACGCGGUAGAUGGAGAAGAAGCACCGGCUAACUACGUGCCAGCCGCCGCGGUAAUUC
rnacentral:rRNA from 1 species